rnacentral:lncRNA from 1 species
UAUAUAUAUAUAUAUUUAUACACACACACAUGUAUAUAUAUGAAAAUAUAAAAAUAUGAAGAAAUAUAUAAUCAAUGUGUACAAUUUUGUUAAUUCUUUUAAAAGCUGGGUCAGAUAGCUGGAGAAGUUACUUGCCUUCCAACCAGUCUGGGUUCGAUCUCUGGAACCCAAGCGAAGAAGAAAACAAAAUCUAGAACGGAAUCUACAGAGUUAUUCUCUGACCUCCACAAACACACAUUAACAAUUUAAAAAACAAAACCAAAAAAAAAAAAUCCCCAGAAAGCUAAAAUAACGUACUUGGCUGCCCCUAAUCUAUGUAUCAGGAUAAAUUGGUUUUGAUUUAGAAAACCUACCUCUAUGUAUUAUUUUAUACCUAUAAAAGUCCUUCUUUGGAAACCUGGUUGUAGGUUGGGUGUGGUGGCACAUGCCCCUUAAUCGCAGCACUGGGGUUGGGGGGUGUACAAAGGUGGGUGGAUCUCUAUGAGUUUAAGACCAGCCUGGUCUACAUAGGGAGCUCCAGGCAAGCCAAUACUACAUGGUAAAGCCCUGUCUCAAAACAAACAAAAAUAAAAGCCCAGCUCGUUAUAAUAAUUUCAGCAUGGGCCAGUGUAGAAGAUAGCAUGCAGCCACAGUCCCUUUUCACCAUCCAUUCUCACCAGCUUCACUGGUUACCAUCACGUUGCCACACCCAUCCACUGCUACCCGAACCAACUACUUCCUUUUUCUUCAGUCAUUUAAUCUAUAUUUUCCUAUUACAAAUCAUUGUGAAUGCACAGUGCAGUGACCUUUAGCUAUAUAUAAACUUGUGCCCUUGUCACCACAGUGACACAGUGUUAUAGAACAGUUCUGUUACCCCCAAGUUCCCUCACAUUGGUCAAGAGAGUGAUGAAAUCGGCCUUUGUUCCCAUGGCCAAACCAUCAGUAGUUUCCGUCUCUGUAGAUGUCCUUUGCUGGGUGUUCUGUGGAAAGGGAGUUGGGUGUUAAUUAGGCUUUGUGCAUCUGUGUGUAGUGUCCCUGGGCCACUCCUUCCUGUGACAGACAUUGAUAGUUCUCUUCUCAUGCUGACAGUGUCCCAUGUUAUGGAAAAAAAACUGCAUCUCUUUUUUCCACUUUCACUAACGAUUGAGUUUUCAGUUUUGAACUACGGUAGUCCUCCCCGACCUGAGGGUGUGUUCCCAAGCCCCCUGAGGAGAUGCUUGGAAUCCUGUGAGCACAGAGCCGGUGUUUUAGCGCCACACCCAGACUUCUGUUUACUAUUUUGAGACAAGAGUCUCACGAAGUUGUACAGGUUGGCUUUGAAUUCACUCUAGCCUGUCAGUCCUUGAGCUUGGUGAUCUCCUCCCUCAGCUUUUUUUUUUUUUUUUGGUUUUUCGAGACAGGGUUAGGGUUUCUCUGUAUAGCCCUGGCUGUCCUGGAACUCACUCUGUAGACCAGACUGGCCUCGAACUCAGAAAUCCACCUGCCUCUGCCUCCCGAGUGCUGGGAUUAAAGGCGUGUGCCACCACGCCCAGCUCUACCUCAACUUUUUAGGUAACUAAAUUAUAGGCCUGCACCAUCAAGUCCAACUCCAUACUUUUUUCUUUGCUUAUAUAUCUUACAGUAGAGUUGAAUUUGUAAAUUAGACACCGUAAGAUUGACAGAGCUGGUGGUCUGGAUUGGGUAGCACCUUGUUCACCUAGCUUACAUAAAGCCUUGGGUUCAAUCCUCAGUACCACAUAAACCAGGCGUGGUGGCGCACUCAAGAGGUAGAGGCAGAAAGAUCAGAAAUUCAAGGUCAUCCUGCGGUACAUGAGUCCCUGGGGUGGGAUAAGCAACAAUGUUUAAUAAUGUAGAACAUGUAUGAUAAUAGUAUAAAAGUUAAAGGGUUAUAUAUCAUUUAUCUCUGGGAUUUUCUGUUUAGAAUUUUCAGACCUUGAUUGUAGGUACCUCAAACUCUGGAAAAUGAAACCAGGGAUAAGGAGACAGUUACUGUGAUUAAACAGUCCCAUACAAGUGCGCAUCUUCCUGUCGAGUUGGUGCCUAGAGUUGGAAAUACUGGCUAGUAAGUUUAUGUUUAACUUUUUAAGUUACUGCCGAACUUCCUGUAAGUGGCCAAGUCAGUUCACAUUCCCAUCAGGGAGGAUUUCAGUUUCUCCAUAUCCUGGUUCACACUUGCCUGAUUUUUGUUGUUUGUUUUGUUGUUUGGUCAGUCAUUCCAGUGAGUGUGGUGGUACCUCACUGUAGCUUUGGCUUGCAUUUCCCUAGUGACAGAUAGUAAGCACCUGCUGAUGUGCCAUUCACAGAUCUGUAUGCAUCAUCCCUGGAGAAAUGAGGUGCUGAUCUUUUAUGCCUUCUUUCCACCUCCCGUGCUGGGGCUGAACCUCAGUGCUCUAUAACUGAGCCACACCCCAGGCCUUGCCCACUUGCUAACAGGGAUGUUUGCUGUCUCAUUAACUUGUAAGAGUUCUUUAUGGCCGGGCAGUGGUGGCGCACGCCUUUAAUCCCAGCACUUGGGAGGCAGAGGCAGGCGGAUUUCUGAGUUUGAGACCAUCCUGGUCCACAGAGUGAGUUCCAGGACAGCCAGGGCUACACAGAAAAACCCUAUAUAGAAAAAGACC